rnacentral:pre_miRNA from 1 species
AAAUUCAAACCUGCAAAACAACAGGACUCAAGCAUUUCGCCAAACACCUCAUGUUUUCCCUUUAAAAAUAAUAAAUUUUUGUGAGGCUUGCUUUAGAUGAUGGUAUUCAAGUGCCACCGAAUUGAGGUUCAAUCCUUGACACUUAAUACCUUCAUCUAAACCAGCAUAACAAAAAUUUAAUAUUUUCAAAGGAGAAACAUGAGGUGCUUGCGAAAUGCUUGAGUCCUGUUGUUUGACAAGUUUGAAUUA